rnacentral:misc_RNA from 1 species
AUAACUUGAAGGCUGGGCCUGCAAUCACCAGAAUGGAAGAGACAUAUACCAUUGAUGAUGUUGCAUUCAACGUCCCUGGUCUCUCUAUUGACUCCUUCAUUCCUCCUCAAGGACUAAUCAAGGGAUAUCCUGAGGAAAAUCUUGGCUGGAGGUCACCAAUCGAUCGAUAAAAAUGAUCAAGCCAAGUCACCAAAUAUAUAUAUUUUGUUACUUUUGAUGAUACUGACCUACAAACUGUUACUGAAUAUCUCAAGAGUGGUUUUUGUUCUUCCUCGUUGUUCUGUUUUAUAUGCUGCUAACAGAUCAUCAUAGGAAAUGUAUUAAUAUCUUG